GUUCACCACUCGCCCGACCACUACGUGGGUCGUGGAACUGCCCACCUCAGCUGCUGCAUAAAAAAACCACCGGCCCCUAGUCGGCUAAUCUUCACCUUAUCCCACCCUCGCUAUGCACAUCCACCACUGCCCAUGCUAGGCUCGCUGCGGUGCCGCGUCAUGCCGCGCCCGCGCACCGCCACCAGUGUCUCAUCACACAUCACCGAGCUCCGUCGAGCGCUGGAGAAUGGACAUCAGCCACCCCCAUCCGAAGGCUUGCAGCGCCCGAAGCUACGCCAGAGCACCACGGACAUCGACGCCUCUGACUGCGAUCCAUUUUCGAGCUUCAAGGAAUCGACAGUCAAGCUUCGGCAACCAAGUGAUCGAAUUUUUCGAGUUCUACAAAGUUGAAGACCCUGAGCAUCUGUUUGGUGAAUGCAAGUGUCCUCUGUCCCAUUAUGUCCCAUUUACUUUAUAAUACACUGUCCCGCAUACUAUGAACAACUUAAGGAUUUACUAGCUUUCUAUUUACCUGGUCCUUGAUUACCUUUUGGGCUACUAUGGUUAGAUUCAUGCUAUUGUUUUACUUUAAUCAAUGAACAUGAUGAGAUACAAUGAUGAUACUAUGAUUUUAU